rnacentral:rRNA from 1 species
UACAGAGGUCCCGAGCGUUGUUCGGAUUUACUGGGCGUAAAGGGUGCGUAGGUGGUGGAGUAAGUUUGGUGUGAAAGCUUCGGGCCCAACCCGAAAACGUCAUCAAAUACUAUUCCGCUCGAGGGUUGAAAAGGGGACUGGAAUUCUCGGUGUAGCAGUGAAAUGCGUAGAUAUCGAGAGGAACACCAGUGGCGAAGGCGGGUCCCUAGGCAACUCCUGACACUGAGGCACGAAAGCUAGGGGAGCAAACAGG